rnacentral:sRNA from 1 species
ACUAGCACUUACGUACUAGGCUGUUAUAUACCGUACCUUUGGCACU